rnacentral:rRNA from 1 species
UGAGCAAUCUGCCCUUCACAUCGGAAUAACCAUUGGAAACGAUGGCUAAUACCGAAUACGACUUCGGACCGCAUGGUCUGAAGUGGAAAGCUCCGGCGGUGAAGGAUGAGCUCGCGGCCUAUCAGCUUGUUGGUGAGGUAAUAGCUCACCAAGGCAACGACGGGUAGCCGGCCUGAGAGGGUGACCGGCCACACUGGGACUGAGACACGGCCCAGACUCCGUAGGA